rnacentral:lncRNA from 1 species
GAAAGAGACCGAAGGGGUAGGCCAACACCCUGAUAUGCUAGGUAGUUACCGAUUAAAAGAGACCGAAUGGGUAUGUGGCAACCGUCAAAAUUCGAGUCAGUUCUAGCUUUUACUAAACUUAGUUUCACAUAUAGGCACAACACAUACUAGACUUAGUAACUAGAAGCUAAGUUAUAACCUACUAGAAACUUGGAAACAAUUAGAAACAAUGGAUAGUGUACUUAGAUUUCACAUUGAUAUGUGAAUUCUACAUCUACUUAACUGGAGUGACUAUCCACAUUUGGGUCAUUCCUUGACUCGAACACCUUUUCAUGAAUCAUAUACACACAUCAUGCACUUGACAUAGUAGUAAAAAUUAGGUCAAAGUCUCAUAAAAACUUAAGUCAAAGUUGAAGACUAGGGCUAGUAUGCUUGAUUCCUCAAUUUCGUUGGAUCUCGAAGUGACUAUCCACAUUUGGGUCAUUCCUUGACUCGAACACCUUUUCAUGAAUCAUAUAC